UCAAGGUGACAGGGGCGGCUGCCACGUGGCCUCCUAGGGACCUCGCGGGGACAGGCUGAGUGCUGCCCUUGGCACGAAUGAAUGAAGGAAAGAGGGAAGGAAGGGACUGGAGUCCUGACACGUGCUCGGGGCCCUGUGCUCAGUGAAGAAGGGGAGACAGGGAGGCAGGUGCCACAGGCUCCCGUUGAUACAAAGAGCCUGCAGGCAGUAAAUCCUGCAGGUAGACCGACUCGGCCCGGACGGGGCGGGCGCGGGGUACGAGUGAUGCCCGUCGGGCGGGGUCUCCUCCAGGGGCGACAAGGAGGUUCUGGGACUAGAUCCUGGUGUCGCUUGCUCACAGCAGAGAAUGCGUGAAAUGCCACUGAAUGGUUCAGUUUAAAGUGGCUCCUUGUAUGUUGGGAACCUCCCUGUGGCUCAGACGGUAAAGAAAUCUGCCUGCAAUGCGGAAGACCCAGGUUCUAUCCUUGGGUCAAGAAGAUGCCCUGGAGAAGCGAAUGGCUACCCACUCCGGUAUUCUUGCCUGGAGAAUCCCAUGGACAGAGGAGCUGGUGGGCUAUAGUCAAUGGGGUCGCAAGGAGGGGGACAGGACUGAGUGACUAAGACACACACUUCUGUUAUGUUAUGUGAGUUUCAGCUCCACUGCAGAAGCCUGAAGCGUGGACAGGUAGGGGUGCUCCCUCCAGGUAGCUGACUCCUACUGGCACGACGCCAGUCCCAAGGGUGGACAAGAUCCUUGUUUCCAGCCGUCAGCCCAGCCUUCCGGCCCCGACCCCUAGGUUUGACCCACACCAUGAGAUGUCCUGAGAAUGCCCAGACCUGGCCUGGCGGUUGGGGCCCCCGUCUCCAUUCCUGGCUUCGUGGUGCCCCUCUUCUCUGUCUGCUGUCCUCCCCCAGAGGCUCCUGAGCCCACCCUGCCCAGCACUCCCUCCCCACCCGCCUCUGUGUCCCUGGCAAGCCCCUGCCACUCCCAGAGCCUGUUCUUCAUCUUCACAUUGGGAAUGUGGCCCUCCCAGCACUGGGGACCUCGGCCCACCUGCCUCUGGUCACGUUCCCACUCCCAGUGCUGCCUCCACCAGGGAGCUCUCCUGGCUUGUCCCAAUGCCGACAGGAAUCCCCUCGGCCAGCUCCGUGGAGCCAGUCGGAAUUCUCACUCAGCCCUGGCUGGUGACGUCAGCGGCCAUCCCCAUUUGACAGAUGGGCUGCUGAGGCUACGAACAGGGAGCCACUGGCCAUAAACCACACAGCUGACAUGGAGCAGGGUACACCCCCCAGAAAGCACACCCCCGGACCUGUCUCUGGGAACAGUGCCAAUAAGACUGGCCGCACGUUCUGGGGUGCUGACUCCGGCGUCCUCGCUGAUGUAGUAACCCACUCACCUCCCGCUCCCUGGGAGGCAGGCCCCAUCCCUAACCACCUCCCCUACUUCACAGACAGUGGGCAGGGGCCACUUCCGAACUUCCGGCUGUCACUCCAGAUCUGCAGGGGGGACCCCACCAAGGCAUCCAUGACCCCACACGGCUCACAGAAGCCCCUCACGCUCCUGCGUGGCCCACAGCCUGUCAGACAGGGGCCUCUCCCAUCUCACAGACUUAGCAGAUUUCCUUUCUUCCGCCUGCCCCUGCUUCUGCCACAUCUCUCCUUCCCACCUUGGGCUGAGAGCAGAUGCCCUCUCAGGGCAGGGAUGUCCUGUCCCCUUUUACUGCUGAGAUCACUGAGGUUAACAAGGAGACUGCAGGGUUGCUGGUGGUUGUGGCCGCCCAGGUGAAUGGGGUUCCCUGGUGAUGUGCAGUGCACAACCUGAACCACUGUGCUUGGUAAGCCCGUGGUCACUCCCACCUGGUGCCCAUACCUGGCCAGUCUCAUCCUUGUCCACCCUGUGCCUGCCACGUGUGAGUGACAGAAGGACUCAGAAGCUGGGUGAGGAUGUGGCUGGCUGGCCAAGAGCUGGAGACUGUGGGCUCUCGGCGCUCAAGCAGCAUUCCUGGGAUGCCUGUGCCCCAUUCAGCAGCCAAGGCACUUGCUAUGCAAACACUCAGGGCCCCACACACAAUGGUUCCCACCAGCCUGGCUGCCCAGCCAGACCCCGCCUCCACCUCCUCUCCACCCCAUUGUCCUGCCCUCUGGAGAGGGGCAGUGUGGGGGGCACUGGCGGGGGGGACCCAGGCCUGGUCCCUUUCUCCAGGGCAGGAAGGGGCUUCUGGGGUGGCUGGGAAUGCCCCGGAGGAUGAAUGCCCAUGCAAAUGAGAUGCUGAUGAACCUGGACCGGGCCUCCCCAGAAAGCAGUCCUGGGAGCUGCCCCCUCAGCAGCCCGCAGGGAGGGGGUCCCCCACCCCGGCCCUCCCCCUUCUGUGGGCCGAGCCUCCAGCCCCUCCACAGAGACUUUCUUGGGUGGAGAGGGCAGCUCACUGGGCCUCCCGCCUGGGCCUUACGCAUUCUCUUUCCUCUGUUUGGAAUCCCAGCCUGGUAGGUGCCCCUCCUCAGGGCCUGACUGUCCACAGCGCGACCCUGGCCCCGAGGGAUCGUCAGUGCCCCCCCUCCCCGCUCCCCGCCGCAAUGGCGCUGUGUCACCGCUGUUGAGGUCUGAGUCCAGAGGGAAGAGCCUGCCUGGUCAGGACUGAGUUCUGCACACAGCAGCCUGUUUGAUGAAUGAAUAAGUGACCUCUCCAGCCUCCCACACCUCGCGCCACACCCCCAGAGUCCCGACCCAGAUCCUCUGGCAGCACCCCAGCCGCUCCUUCACUCGCAUUCGCCUGGUCCUGAAACCAGCAAGGAUCCGAAGAGUGUGCCGAGGAAAGCUUUCCGCACACACCCCGGCUCUCACGCGGGCUGUCCUGAGAGCCGGCGGGUGCCGGGUCCUGUGGGUCCUUCCCAGACCAGGCUCCGCAGUCACGUCUAGUGCACACGUCUCUGCCAGCCCCCCUGUUCCCCGACACAAUCAGAAACCCAUCCCACAGUCCGCUGGGCUCCUUUCUAUCUCAUACGGCCUGCAGACACGGCCCUGUAUCAAAACUGGAAGGCCUUCUUGCCUACUCUUUGCCUUCCCAUGUGGCCUAUAUUAUACAUCCCACUAAUGGGCAUUGAUGGAGAAGGAAAUGGCAACCCACUCCAGUGCUCUUGCCUGGAGAAUCCCAGGGAUGGGGGAGCCUGGUGGGCUGCCGUCUAUGGGGUCGCACAGAGUCGGACACGACUGAAGUGACUUAGCAGCGGCAGCAGCAGCAAUGGGCAUUGAAGGUGUUUUCUGGCUGCCUCAGAACCGUGCUGCCGUGACCUGGUACCCAAGGUGACUCUGGGCAGGAUGCCUUCCCAGAGGUGGGACCACUGCGUCGCAGGAUGUGAGUUUGUAAUUCUGAGGCAUUUUGCCAAACGCCUGCCAGGUGAGUCUGUAACCAUUUCUAAUAAUUUACAGUAAUAUGUGCGAGUCCCUGUAUUCUCUCAGCAGUGCCAACAGUGUGUAAUCGGAGUCUCUGCCAGUCCGAUAGGUGUAUAUGCCAUCAGUGCAGCCGUCAUCUGCAUUUCUCUCACCAGGAGUGAGGCUGAGUGUCUUUCAUCUCUUCAGGAGCCAUUUGCUUUUUCCUUUCAUGAAAAAGGAAGGGUAUUGAGACUCCUGUCCAUACCCUUUGCCUUUUCAUUUUUUUCCCCUACUAUAUUGUGACCCUGUUAUUGAUUUGCUGGAGUUCUUUACAUAUGCUAGAAACGAGCUCUUUGUUUGAUAUAAUUUGCAAAUAUUUUCCCCAAGUUGCUUUGUGUGGCUUUUGCUAUGCAGAAAUUUUGUUUCAUGUGUUUGAAAUGAUCAAAAUACUUCUUUGUGUGUAUUUGGGUGUUUUUGUAUUUUGUAUCCUGCUUAGAAAGUUCUCAUCUCAAGUUUAUAAAGAAAUUUCUACUAUUUCUCUUUAAGACUUUUGUGAUUUCAGUUUUCACCUUUGAAAUCUCUGACCCAUUUGGAAUUUAUUUUAGUAUGAGGUGUGAGAUAUACCUCCAACCUUACUCUCUUUAUUCUUUCCAGAUGGCUUCCCAGGUAUGGGUGGGUCUCGAAUGAGCCAUCUUUUCUCACUGAUUUGAAAUUUUGUGUUUGUCACAUGCUGGAUUCUCUUACAUGUUUGCAACCGUUUGAGGUUCUAUUGUGUCCCUUUAAUCUACCUGUUUAUUCUUGCACUAGCAUCCCGCUGUUUUAACUCUUCUCGCUUUUAACGGUUUUGAUGCUUGUGGGGGCCAGUUUCCUCGUCUUACACCGGCAGAGAAUGCAGGCACCGUAACCUUCACCUUUCCUCCUUUGUGACCUGGUUUUAUUUGAGGCAGCAAAGCGCUGAGAACCUGCAUCUCCCAGCUGCAACGCAGAGAAGUGUGGCUACAGGACUCGGUUCUAGACAGGGGGCUAACGGGGGUUCUAGAGGGGGAAGUAGAACUGAGGUUUGGUGCUUCCAAGGACUUUCUCUGGAAAGGAAAUCUUCUCCUUCCUUCCUCUUCCCAGAUGCCUGGAAUAUGACGUGAUGACCAGAAUCCAGCAGCCAUCUCGCACCACUAGACACACUUGGAAAGGAAAUCACACAACAGAAGAGUGAGCAAUCCUAUACAUGCAGAGUACAUCAUGAGAAACGCUGGGCUGGAUGAAGCACAAGCUGGAAUCAAGAUUGCCGGGAGAAAUAUCAAUAACCUCAGAUAUGCAGAUGACACCAUCAUUAUGGCAGAAAGUGAAAAAGAACUAAAGAGCCUCUUGAUCAAAGUGAAAGAGGAGAGUGAAAAAGUUGACUUAAAGCUCAACAUUCAGAAAACUAAGGUCAUGGCAUCUGGUCCCGUCACUUCAUGGCAAAUAGAUGGGAAAACAGUGGAAACAGUGGCUGACUUUAUUUUGGGGGGCUCCAGAAUCACUGCAGAUGGUGCUUGCAGCCAUGAAAUUAAAAGACACUUACUCCUUGGAAGGAAAGUUAUGACCAACCUAGACAGCAUAUUAAAAAGCAGAGACAUUGCUUUGCCAACAAAGGUCCACCUCGCCAAGGCUAUGGUUUUCCCAGUGGUCAUGUAUGGAUGUGAGAGUUGGACUAUAAAGAAAGCUGAGCACCAAAGAAUUGAUGCUUUUGAACUGUGGUGUUGGAGAAGACUCUUGAGAGUCCCUUGGACUGCAAGGAGAUCCACCCAGUCCAUCCUAAAGGAGAUCAAUCCUGGGUGUUCAUUGGAAGGACUGAUGUCGAAGCUGGAACUCCGAUACUUUGGCCACCUGAUGUGAAGAGCUGACUUAUUUGAAAAGACCCUGAUGCUGGGAAAGAUUGAAGGCAGGAGGAGAAGGGGACGACAGAGGAUGAGAUGGUUGGAUGGCAUCACUGACUCAAUGGACAUGGGUUUGAGUAAGCUCUGGGAAUUGGUGAUUGACUGGGAGGCCUGGCGUGCUGCAGUCCGUGGGGUUGCAAAGAGUUGGACACGACUGAGUGACUGAACUGAACUGAUAGUCUUUCAUAUAUCGCCCAAUGGGUUAAUAUUUGUACAUGAAAGAUAUUGAGAUUCCUGUAUUUAUUUUGCUCCCAGACACCAUAAGGAAUUCUUUAAUUGUUUGGAAGACUUCAGUUUUUCAGAUACUCAAUAGAGUUGUCUGCAAAUGGUGAUACAUUUAUCUCUUUUUCCUAUAGUCAUAACUUUCUUUCUUUCUCUUGUCUAAUUUCACUAGCCAGUACCUCUAGAACAAUGUUAGAUAUUGGUGGAUCACAUUGUCCAAUUUUGACUUUUUAUACAUGUGUUUUUAAAGUUUUCACAUUAAGCAAGGUGUUGACAAAUAUUUUAUCAAGUUAAGAAAAUAUUUACCCAGUCCUAUUUUACUGAAAGUGUUAGUUGUUUAGUCGCAUCCAACUCUCUGCGACCCUAAAGGCUGUAACCCACCAUGCUCCUCUGUCCAUGGAAUUCUCCAGGCAAGAAUACCAGAGUGGGCUGCCAUUCCCUUCUCCAGGGGAUCUUCCUGACCCAGGGAUCAAACCUGGGUCUCCUGCAUUGCAGGUGGAUUCUUUACCAUCUGAGCCACCAGGGAAGCUUGUUUUAUUAUGAUUUUUUUAAAAUCCAGAAUAUUGUUGCCUUUCGUCAAAGGCCUUUUUGGAUCUCAGUGUAGAUGAAUAGCUCUUUUCUUUCAAGCUAUUAAAAGGUGAGGUGUAAUCAUAUAAUUCAGAGCGCAAAAAGUACACAGAUGGUGUACUCAGAUGAGGUAAUUUGAAGAGACUUUGUAAAAGGACUAUUUAUAGAGGUGGGGGCAGGGAUUGGGGAAAUAGCAAGGGGUCCCACAGCCCGAGGGCCAUGUGCACUCCAGUCCUUAGGGCUGGGACAGGUGAGCACAGGGACGUGGAGAGAGACGCUCAGCUGAGGAAUGAGGCCCGGCAAAAAAGGGAGGCAGCGAGGUGGAGACUCCUCCCACUGCCGUCCCUGCCCAGCCUCACCUGCGGUCUCAGAGGGCAAGUCCAUGGAGGGUGAAGAUGAGGGGGCAGAGGUGCGGGCCGGAAUCCUGGCUCCCAGGGUCCAGUUAGGGGUGGAGAAGGGGGCUUCAUCUUUUCAGGACUGCUAGGUUCUGCCAGUUGAUGCUUGCCUAGGAGUUUUGCACUGAUUUUCAAAAGUGAAAUUUGUCUACAGUUUUAAUGUAUUUAGCUGGGAGGGAUUGGGGGCAGGAGGAGAAGGAGACGACAGAGGAUGAGAUGGCUGGAUGGCAUCACCGACUUGAUGGACAUGAGUUUGAGUAAACUCCGGGAGUUGGUGAUGGACGGGGAGGCCUAGCAUGCUGCGAUUCAUGGUGUCGCAAAGAGUCGGACACAACUGAGUGAACUGAACUGAACUGAAGUGCAAUUUAACAGUUG